AAUCCCCAAAAAGAAGAGCAGCUGCCCUUUCCCAAAGAUCUCAUUCCCCUUCUACAAGAGAGACUCACCCACCUCCACCCGAAGACCGGCCGCACCUCCCCAAAAAUGGAGAACUCUCCAUCGUCUCUCUUAUCUCAACUGAGAGAUAACAACCACUCUCUCAUCUCUCUCGAUCGAGCCUAAUUCCACCCCACCGAAUCUCUCAAUUAGCCGACGCCCAACCUUAUUCCGCCUCUGCCAUUGCCCAGCAACCACCGUCAAAAACUCGUUGUUGCCGAACGGCCACCAAACAUCCUCGAGUCUGUCCCAAAGCCAGCAUCAAAAAUCCAAUGAAACACUAUCGAAAAGCAGCUCAAAGCAUCCAUAAAGCUCACUCCAAAAUCACUAAAACACCAUAAUGUUUGUCCAAGGUUAAGUUAGUUGGGUUCGAUCGGUUUCGAGGUCGCCGACGCGGUUCAUUAGCUUGAUCCAAAUCUUCUUGUGUUUUGCGCACAAAAUUCGUUUGGAGCAUUUUGUUAAUGAAAUCAGAAAGUUUACACAUCACUAAAGCCUUCAUUUGGCGUCUUCUGUCUAUUCUCGCACAGCUAGGUAUUUAUUCUUAAUCCAUAUACUCAAAUUUUAUACUAAUUUGGAUCCUGAUUGUGCCAUUAAACUUGUUGAUUUUGAUUUCACCUGUUAUAUCUGUUUUAUAACACGGAUUGGUGUUGAAUUCAAUUUAUAGUUAUGUCAUCCAUCGUUGAACACAUGAUGUGUUACUUGAGAUUUAAUGAUUGUGAUUUAAAUAUUUUUUUACAUGUUGUCAAUGUGAAAUAUAGGCAAAAACAGGAACAAAAAUGACUUCACGUAGUAACGAAAAAUUGUGAUUCUAAUGCCUUGAGCUAUGAACUAUUUUGGCAAGCAUUUGUGUUGUCUCAAGUAGUUCGUUUAAGUGAGCUUAGUAAUUUAGAGAGGUGAUUUUGUAAAGAAUUAUUACUGUACUAUUCAUUUAGGACCAUUGAAGUUGUGUAUUUGCAAAUGAACGUUUGGGUCGAGUUAAUUCGGACUGACAUGCUCCAAGAUAAAGUCAUUGAACUGGUCUAUUUUUUAUUUAUUUUUUUGUGCUAAGAAAAACUGACAAUGUAAUAAGAUUGGAUUUAGUAUAGUUCGUAAGUAUUUGUUUCUUUAGUUUACUGUAUGUAAUUACUAGUAUUACUUUAAUUUUUCUACUUAAUUAACUUAAGUGAGUUAUAGUUAAAUAAAUAUGAAAAAUCAAGGGUGGCCACAGAUAACUAUUGAACUAAUUCUAGUUUUCAUAACUUUGGUCCUUUACAAUUAGCUAAAAUUAGUAUAGAAAAAAUAACUUGAACAUCGUAGUUUGCUUUAGGCGCGUUUCUAAACUACUAUCGUGAUUAUGUACACGUUCGCGUGACAUAAUUAUGAUUCCAAAAUUAAAUCAAGGUACGUGUUCGCGCGACUUUGGCCAAAAAUAAUCUUAAUAAUUAAUAAAGUGUUAUUAAUUGUGUACGCGUGACAUGAUUCUUGACACGCCAAAUAAAAUGAGUACACGUACGCGUGACUCGUUUCAAGAUAAUUCCAUAAUUACGAAUAUUCAAGCAAUCUAAAAGCGGUAAAAGGUAAAAUGCAUAUAGGUUUAAAUUCAUAAUUAAAAUAAUUUAAUUAAGCCAUGUAUGAUUAAAAGCGACCGUGCUAAAACCACGAAACUCGGGAAUGCCUAACACCUUCUCCCGAGUUAACAGAAUUCCUUACUUGGUCUUCUGAUUUUGCAGAGUUUAAACAAAGUCAAUUUCCUCGAUUUGGGAUUUAAAAUAAACUGGUGACUUAGGACACCAUAAAUUAUUCCAAGUGGCGACUCUGAAAUUGAAUAAAUAAUCUCAUUUCGAAUAAUGUCAUUUAACUUGGAAAAACUCCCCUAUCCCCUCGAGAAAAAGGAGGUGUGACAGCUUUGCGACUCUGCUGGGGAUCGAAUCUCUGGUUCAGGGUUUAGAAUUCGAGCUUAUUAAUGUGAUCUAUACUUGACUUUCUUGAUGAUUAAUAUUACUAUAUUUGUGGGCCUAAUGGGCUAAUUGCCGCUCAUUUACCGCUUUGAUAUUGUUUGAACUGCAUUAAACUGUCUUCUUACGCCUCCCUUCCGAGUCUUCUAAAAAUAUGGUGCACAUGUACGCGUGGCCGACUUUUCUGUUAGAGGUCGUACCAAAUAGAACGAGGAUGGAUCAACAACUAGGUCGGGUAGACUUUCGUGCUCCCGGUACAUUACCCCCACCUCGGCUCGAGCUAUCCGCUUGGGUAUGCCAUGUCUAGAACAUACCCCCAGGUUUAAACCUAGAAUAACAUAGCCUCAUGCCGGAUCCCUAGUAGGAACGUUUGUUUGCAUCACGUGCAUUUGACUUUGGGGACUCAACACAGGGGUUGGAUCCGUCUAGGACAGGUGUACCCGAAAUAAAAUACCAUCCUGAUGCACCUUACGUGCUAUUUGUGCAUUUAUUUAUUUUGGCUUGCAAGUUGAUCGGCUAAGGAAAGAAAAUCAAGAGAAAAACCAAGACUGAGGUAGGAGAGAAAAUUUACCCGGUUCUGAAAAAUCCGGUAUUUGGAAGUGUCCCGAAACUCUUCCAAAAUUUUUGAAACAAAAAAAAAAUGAAAAAUAAAUUUCAAAAUGAGUCAAUAUCAUGUUCUCCCAGUUAUGUCAAAAUUGGUCGAACUACGCGGAUCUGAUUCUCACCGGAUAUGAGAUACGUAGGCAAACCUCAUUAGUUCCAACCCACAAUUUUCAAAAAAUCGAAAAAUAUUUUCCUUUACUUCCUUAUUUAGAAAGUCUUUCUUUUAAACCCUGCUUUUUAAAAAAUACAAAAAAUAUUAUCUUUAAUUUCUUCUCAAAAUCCAAAAAUAUUUUCAUUCGUCUUUCGAAAAUUGAAAAGAAAAUUCAAGAUCCAAAAAUAUUUUCCUUUUUCUUUAGAAGUAUUUCUUUCAUAAAUUCAAAAUAAAAGUCCAAAAAUCCAAAAAUAUUUUCUUUCUUCUUUAGAAAUUUUUCUUUUGAAAUUCAAAAAAACAUUCGAAAUUCAAAAAAAAAAAUAGUUUCUUUCUUCUUUAGAAGUCUCUCUUUUCAAAAAAAAAAAAACAAAUCGAAAUCCAAAAAAAAAAUAUUCUUUCUUCUUUAUAAAUCUUUCUUUCGAAAAUUAGAAAAAAAAUUUAAAAUCCAAAAAAAAAGAGAGUUAGUUUAUUUACUUUAUUCCUGAUCUUUCCGAACUAUGCAAGAUCUGAUUCAUGUUCUUACAUGAUACGUAGGCAACCCACAUCAGGUUCGAUCGAAUGGUUUAAAAAAAAGAGAGAAAAAAGGUAUAAGAAAGAGAGUGUUCAUUCUAACAUGUUUAUUAUUUUGAAACAAAAAUCAGGUUAAAGGUGGUCGGUUUGUUGGUUUGCAAUGGCGAGUCCAGGAUCCUAGAGAAAUAAAAGCACUUUCUCAACCGAAGGAAAGGGAACCACUAUUGUUGAUCCAACUAAGGUCACAAAAAGGUAAGUAGACAAGUUGGUAAUAAAAAUCGAGGCAAAUGAUGGCUGACUUCUACCAAUUUUGAGCAGCAGGACAUGCUCUGCCUGGAUGAUCUGUGAUGAUAGGGAGACAUGAGAAUUCGUCCAAGUCCUUUGGUGAAUUAGUUACUGUGAAAGCUCCUAUGUUGUAAUUUUUAAAAUCCGAUAGCCAAUAUGGGGAGCGGUUUGAUCAAAAGGAAAAAUUUGAGUGCUGAAUCCAUAGCAAUAAAAAUGGUUGAAUGCCGCAAUAAUGUUGAUGUGCAAGUCCGUGACCAAGAUAUCGCUUGGUAACUGAAAAGUCACUCCUCUUUAGCCAGGGAGGAGUCUUGGUAGCUUAUUUUGUCGUCUUUUCCGUUAUCUGGGUUGUCCAAGGUUGUAACCCAGAUUUUAGUUUGUUUGUCUUGUCGUCAAAUCC
rnacentral:lncRNA from 1 species